rnacentral:misc_RNA from 1 species
AUUAAUAUAAAAAAGGCUAGAGCCCAAAUACAUAAGCAGUCCUAGGUAAAAAGCAAAACAGAGCUGAUUAAAAUUAAAUCUCUGUCCAAAAGACCCAAGGAAAACCCUAAUGGAGAGAGUCCUAGACUCGGCAUCCAUAAUCCGGUUCAAGAGAAACGACACACCGCUUGCAACCCAGUGGGGGAACCUCGACAAAAUUGCAGCACACCCGUGGGAAGGUAAAAGACUAAUUGAAGCACUCCA